rnacentral:rRNA from 1 species
UGGGGAAUAUUGCACAAUGGGGGAAACCCUGAUGCAGCGACGCCGCGUGAGCGAAGAAGUAUUUCGGUAUGUAAAGCUCUAUCAGCAGGGAAGAAACUGACGGUACCUGACUAAGAAGCACCGGCUAAAUACGUGCCAGCAGCCGCGGUAAUACGUAUGGUGCAAGCGUUAUCCGGAUUUACUGGGUGUAAAGGGAGCGUAGACGGAUUUGCAAGUCUGAAGUGAAAGCCCGGGGCUCAACCCCGGGACUGCUUUGGAAACUGUAGGUCUUGAGUGCUGGAGAGGUAAGUGGAAUUCCUAGUGUAGCGGUGAAAUGCGUAGAUAUUAGGAGGAACACCAGUGGCGAAGGCGGCUUACUGGACAGUAACUGACGUUGAGGCUCGAAAGCGUGGGGAGCAAACA